rnacentral:rRNA from 1 species
UACGUAGGGUGCAAGCGUUGUCCGGAAUUAUUGGGCGUAAAGAGCUCGUAGGCGGUCUGUCGCGUCUGCUGUGAAAACUCAGGGCUUAACCCUGAGCUUGCAGUGGGUACGGGCAGACUAGAGUGCGGUAGGGAAGACUGGAAUUCCUGGUGUAGCGGUGAAAUGCGCAGAUAUCAGGAGGAACACCGGUGGCGAAGGCGGGUCUCUGGGCAGUAACUGACGCUGAGGAGCGAAAGCGUGGGGAGCGAACAGG